ensembl:lncRNA
GCAGAAUAUAGCCUACAGGCUCCUCCGUCCGUGGGAUUCUCCAGGCAAGAGUACUGGAGUGGGUUGCCAUUUCCUUCUCCAGGGGAUCUUCCUGACCCAGGGAUUGAACCCAGGUCUCCCACAUUGUAGGUAGACGCUUUACAGUCUGAGCCACCAGGAAAGUCCUAAAAAUCGCCAAGGGAGCCAUGGGAGCAGAUAGCCUGAGUUUGAGCCCUAGCAAAAGACCACUGGUGGACAGAAAGAGAGAAAUAGAUUUCCUUAAAGUAACUGACUAAAUAUAACAUGUUUACUAAAAAGCUGGCCACAGACAGCUAAAAUGCAAAUACAAAUGAACUUUGAUGGGCUAGUUGGCAAGCCGCCUCAGCCCUUUAAGCAAAUUCCUGAGUGAUAAAGUUUGUUCUGAAACAUACCUGGGAGCUAGCACUUAAGAACUUCCUAGGGGCUCUUAUCUUUUAGGAUUUAAGAAGUAGCUAGAUUGUGAACGUUUUUCAGACUGCUUUUAUUCUUUCUUUCCAUUUAUCUAUCUACUUACCUACCUAUCUAUGUUUGCCUUAGCAGACCAAUUCGUUAUCCUUAAUGAUGACUAAGACAUCAGCUUCUGUUUACUGAUUUGGUGAACUGAGGUACCAGCACAGUAAGGAACUUGCCUUGAGAUGAAGGAAUAUACAGUCGAACAACAGCUAGAAUUCAGGUUUCCCAAACUGCAGUUCUUUCUUUAGCCCACUGGUGGGCUGCCUCCUAUUUCUAUUUCUUUCACAGGUUCUUUUUUACAUACAUGUACAUAUCUGCAUAGGAGAUGUCUUUGGGACCAUCGGUUCUCUUCACGCAGCUGGCCUGGAAUCUGAGACAGAUCACUGGAACACUCUGGUUCUGUGUAUUUCAGAAAUCAUGGUGGGGACUUCCCUGGUGGUAUAGUGGAUAGGAAUUCACCUGCCAAUGCAGAGACCAAGGGCUUGAUUCCUGAUCUGGGAAGAUCCCACACGCCACGGAGCAACUAAGCCCAUGUCCCGCAACUACUGAGCCCUGCACACCUAGAGCCUGUGCUCCACAAAAGAGAAGCCACCUCCAUGAGAAGCCUGUGCACUGCAACUAGAGGAAGCUGGAGAAAGCAACGAAGACCCAGUGCAACAACAACAAACAAGAUUUUUUUUAAUGUGAUGGCGGGAAGCAUUUACAUGUGGUUGUUGUUUCAUUUCAACUAUUCUUCAAAAACGGGGGCGAGAAAAGCCAAGUUCUCUAGUUUUCAUAUAAAGAUGACUCAAUUUAUUUGAAAAUGAGUGUUCCAGAAUCAGACUUCCAGAUUCCAUGAAUUCAGAGUGUGGAAAAGGACACGCAGCUCCCUUUAGCUGUAACAGGAGACAGUCUUUUAAAAGCCUGGAAUGCUGAAGCUCUCUUACACUGAAAACAUGUUAGGACAUGCCUUCUUGGGAUGCUACCAAGUGGUUUAGGCUCUGAAUUCUACAUUCUGUACUUUUGAAGUUGUUUUCUGUUGGCAGACAACCUCUUGAUUAUUCUCAUGUGAUGAGUGUUCAGGCCAACCUCUCCCGUUCCAAGUAAUUAAAAGAUAGCAACAAACUCAUACUCUGUCAAGUAUCUACACUUUAGCAUAAAGUUGUGGGUUGUGUGAGUGCUGGGCUUAUAGUGAUCAAUUCUAUGAGCUUUGUCAUUUGUUCAGUCAGUAAGUUGUGUCCAACUCUUUGCAAACCCAUGGACUAUAGCACUCCAGGCUUCCCUGUCUUUCAAUAUCUCCCCGAGUUUGCUCAAACUCGUGUCCAUCGAAUCGGUGAUACUAUCCAACCAUCUCAUCCUCUGUCAUCCCCUUCUCUUGCCUUCAGUCUUUCCCAGCAUCAGUUAAAAAUCAUACACACACUACCUGCUACUGCUGCUGCUAAGUCACUUCAGUCGUGUCCGACUCUUAGCGACCCCAUGGACUGCAGCCCACCAGGCUCCUCCGUCCAUGGGAUUUUCCAGGCAAGAGUACUGGAGUGGGGUGCCAUCGCCUUCUCUGACACACUACCUAGACUGCUUUAUUCUCUAAAGCUUACUCCUGCUGUUUGAAAGUGUCACCAUGUUAAGGAAUGAAAAAUUAUAGCGACUGGGGAAAAGUUUUCACCUUUUUUCAUUUCCCUAGUAAAAUUAAGCAAUAAUUUUCAUUCCCCUCAGCUCCUUUUGGAACCAAGGCUAGCAGUGGAUUAAAGGACAAAUAAAUGAAUGAACAAGUCUAUGGUGUUUCUUUCUUCUGCCUCAGAAAGAUGCGGUUUCUUCUGCCAGCAGGAGAAACAGGACUCCUGCUGACACUUCCAGUCGUCCUCAGAAAAGCCAUUGAGCUACCCUUGGGUUGAAUGAAUGAGAACUUUCUGGAGAGCGGAAGACUGGUGGAGGUCCAGCUGGAAAAACAUAUGGCCGCAGAGGCAGAAAGAGCGCUUCUUCAGGAUUGACUGCCUCCAAUGUACCUGGACCGAAGCCAGUGCUGCAUCCUCAGGCGCCCCUAGGGAUUGUGCGUGCAGGACGGCACCACCUCACAGCCCCGCUCUGAGAUAUGGGAGCUGUUGCUGCUCUUCCUGGAAUCUCUGCUGCUGCUGCUGCUGCUGCUGCUGCUGCUGCUGCUGCUAACUUGCUUCAGUCGUGUCCGACUCUGUGCGACCCCAUGGACUGCAGCCACCCAAGCUCCUCCGUCCAUGGAAUCUCUGCUACAGGGACAUAAACUCUUUAAGAUUGCCUGACUUAUCAUCCAUCCUUUUCUUCAUUUGAGACUUGAAAUUCGAACUGUGGUGCUGGAGAAGACUCUUGAGAGUCCCUGGGACAGCAAGAUCAAACCAGUCAGUCCUAAAGGAAAUCAACCCUGAAUAUUCAUUGGAAGGACUGAUGUUGAAGCUGAAGCUCCAGUACACUGGCUACCUGAUGCGAAGAGCAGACUCAUUGAAAAAGACCCUGAUGCUGGGCAAGAUUGAAGGCAGGAGGAGAAGUGGGUAACAGAGGAUGAAAUGAUUGGAUGACAUCACUGACUCAACAGACAUGAGUUUGAGCAAACUCCGGAAGAUAGUGAAGGACAGGAAAGCUUGGUGUGCUGCAGUUCAUUGGGUCACAAAGAAUCAGAUACGACUGAGUGACUGAACAAUAACAAUAGUUAAACUGAAUCUCCC